UACGUAGGGAGCAAGCGUUGUCCGGAAUUAUUGGGCGUAAAGCGCGCGUAGGCGGCCUCGUAAGUCCGUUGUGAAAGUCAAAGGCUCAACCUUUGAAAGCCGAUGGAUACUGUGAGGCUAGAGUCCGGAAGAGGCGAGUGGAAUUCCUGGUGUAGCGGUGGAAUGCGCAGAUAUCAGGAGGAACACCAAUAGCGAAGGCAGCUCGCUGGGACGGUACUGACGCUAAGGCGCGAAAGCGUGGGGAGCAACAGG
rnacentral:rRNA from 1 species